UAAAAAGAAUUUUUUUGAUAAAGACAGUACCCUUGAGGAUAUGCUAGCAAAAUGUCCUGAUGGCAUUCCACAUCAUCAAUUCCGCCAGUUGAUCGAGUAUUGGAAACACCCAACUGUUCAAGCUAUAUGCGAGAUGAAUUCUCAAAACGGGAAAAAACAAAAGUGGAGGCAUCGAAUGGGACCUAUUAAUUUUGCUAGAGUACGCGUGGCAUUGGUAAUACUUAGCUGACAUUUCAUACAAAAUUUGAUUUUCAUUUUUUUGUACUUUAUAAGAACUUACUGAUUUUUUAAAAUUUCUUUUGAUAUAAUCUAUAGCGUGCAGCCAAAGACAACAACGAAGAACCAUCAAAGCCAGAAAUAUUUAUUGCAACUCGUACCAAGACGGGAAAGGAAAUCCAGGCUGAUACCCAAGUUGCAAUAGCUGAACUUCAAAGUCGCCAAAAUUCUGGGGAAACAGCUGAUGAUGCAUUUAGGGCAGUGUUUGGGAAGGAGCAGCCUGGUCAAGUUAGGUUCUAUGGUAGAUUAGUGACAACAAGUUCUUUGAAGAAAGAUGAGGAAAUUAACAAUCUAAAACAAAAGCAUGCCGAUGAAAUCACUUCUCUAAAGGAAGAAUUGAGAGAAGAAAUGCGACAUUUAUUCACUCAAUUGCUGCAAAACAACCCUGGAUUGAAUUUUCAAGAUAUACCCAGGUGUGUUGGAUCUAACCUUGCUUCACCUAUUGAUGCAAGUAGUGCACAAGCUGUAAAAGGCACAAAUCUUCCAUAUUCUUCGGGGUCAGCUCAAGAUUCGGUUCAUCAAAAGGAAAAUGUAGGUAACUGAAUUUGAAUUUGGCCAGAAGUAAACUCGAUCCAUUGUGGCAAAAGAUGAAGAAAUAUUUGUAUUGUUGUCAUAUACGUUUGAAUGACACUUUUGGGUUUUUGGAACUUGUUGAUAUUAGA